UUGGGUAGGGGAGCGUUCUGUAAGCCUGUGAAGGUGUGCUGUGAGGCAUGCUGGAGGUAUCAGAAGUGCGAAUGCUGACAUAAGUAACGAUAAAGCGGGUGAAAAGCCCGCUCGCCGGAAGACCAAGGGUUCCUGUCCAACGUUAAUCGGGGCAGGGUGAGUCGACCCCUAAGGCGAGGCCGAAAGGCGUAGUCGAUGGGAAACAGGUUAAUAUUCCUGUACUUGGUGUUACUGCGAAGGGGGGACGGAGAAGGCUAUGUUGGCCGGGCGACGGUUGUCCCGGUUUAAGCGUGUAGGCUGGUUUUCCAGGCAAAUCCGGAAAAUCAAGGCUGAGGCGUGAUGACGAGGCACUACGGUGCUGAAGCAACAAAUGCCCUGCUUCCAGGAAAAGCCUCUAAGCAUCAGGUAACAUCAAAUCGUACCCCAAACCGACACAGGUGGUCAGGUAGAGAAUACCAAGGCGCUUGAGAGAACUCGGGUGAAGGAACUAGGCAAAAUGGUGCCGUAACUUCGGGAGAAGGCACGCUGAUAUGUAGGUGAAGUCCCUCGCGGAUGGAGCUGAAAUCAGUCGAAGAUACCAGCUGGCUGCAACUGUUUAUUAAAAACACAGCACUGUGCAAACACGAAAGUGGACGUAUACGGUGUGACGCCUGCCCGGUGCCGGAAGGUUAAUUGAUGGGGUUAGCCGCAAGGCGAAGCUCUUGAUCGAAGCCCCGGUAAAC
rnacentral:rRNA from 1 species